rnacentral:rRNA from 1 species
AAAGGAAUAGACGGGGACCCGCACAAGCGGUGGAGCAUGUGGUUUAAUUCGACGAUAAGCGUGGAACCUCACCAAGGUUUGACAUCUGGCUGCAGACUCCUGGAAACAGGAGAGCCUUCGAGGGUGCCAGACAGAUGCUGCAUGGUUGUCGUCAGCUCGUGUCGUGAGAUGUACCGUUAAGUCGGGAAACGAGCGCAACCCCUACCCUAUGUUUUACGUGUCAUAGGGAACUGUCUGCUUUAAGCAGGAGGAAGGUGGGGAUGACGUCAAAUCAGCAUGGUUCUUACACCUUGGGCGACACACGUGCUACAAUGGGAAGUACAAAGGGACGCCAAAUCGUAAGAUGGAGCAAAUCCCAAAAAACUUCCCUCAGUUCGGAUUGAGGGCUGCAACUCGCCCUCAUGAAGCUGGAAUCGCUAGUAAACGCAGAUCAGCCAUGCUGCGUUGAAUACGUUCUCGGGUCUUGUACACACCGCCCGU